CCUAACGAAACCGACUAGGGACCAACUGCAGACGGAGAACUAGAGAGAAUCGAAAGGAAGAGUCCGAAGGGCGAAAGCGUUAUAAAGAGUUAACGAUAAAAAAUAGCUUUAUAACCCACCAAGAGGAAAAGAGAGAAUCCUCAAGGAGCUUAAGAGAAUCUCACUUAAGACCCCUUCGAAACUCGGAUUAGAAGA
ncrna:unclassified sequences IMES-1 RNA motif